CCUUGGGCAAACACUGGAUACAUAGAUUAUCCAAACAUUCCAUUCUCUUGCCUAGAGAACAUUAAGAUUUCUGGUAGGCAAAAGAGGGUAAAG